UUCUCACCUGGUGCCUGGGAUAAGUUUAUGAGCUGCAGCUGGGGGCUGUGGGGAGCAGGUGGGCUUUAGGGAGCCAGGAAAUGGCUGUGGAGCAGCAUGAGACUCAUAAAGGAGCAGGCAGCGGUGCUCUAGUUAUCCAGCAGGGUUGGUUUAGGUUGCUGCUGCACUGGGAGCACUUAAGAAUGAAGUACAGAAGUGACCACGGCUGAAAGGCCAUUUAUUUGCAGCUGUUUCUUCUCAGUUGCAGGGGAAGGACUCCUCACACUGCACCCUGCUCCACCAUGGGCUCCCUCACACACAGACAGUCUCCGUGAACUUCUCCAGUGUGAGUCCUUCCCACGGGCUGCAGUUCUUCACAGCUGCUCCAGUGUGGGUCUGCUCUGUGGGGUGCAGUAUGGCUCCAGUGUGAGUCCUCCAUGGGGCCAUGAGUCCAGGCAGCAAACCUGCUCCAGCAUGGGCUCCUGUCCCCAUCAGUGCACUGGUCCUGCCAGGAGCCUGCUCCAGCAUGGCCUUCCCAGAGGAUAUUUUACAUCCUCCUUUGGCUAUUCCCCUGCUCCAGCGUGGAGUCAUCUACAGGCUGCAGGUUGUGGACGAAUCAAGGUCAAACACUUCUAACCAAAGUGGUACAUGAGACUAAUGUGUCUAAAGUGUGAUAGAGCGAUCGUUUCUUUCAUCAGCUGUGUCUGCAGAAAGUAUCACAUUCAGCUGUGUUAAACUUCCAGCAUGAAUGAGGAGUUACUUGGGCUGAUUGGGUCUUGCUCCAAGCAAUUACACAAGUAAUUGCCCUCAAGUCUACCUUGACUCACUGCAAGCCUCCACAACCACUCUUCUCUACCCUGAUAAAAGAGAGAAGAAAAUUACUGCAUCUGGAAAAAAAUAAUCUCAAACACUGAAAGUUUCUGUGAGGGAAAAAUAUAGGAAAAGGUUAUUAAGCAGUGUAAGAGCUAGCCAACAGAACACAAUACAUGAGUUUGCAAUGAGAUUCAGUGGAAAAAAACCAAGUGUGACUUUUGGACUAUGCCACGGAGAAGAAAGAAGAUCACAGGACUGUUCUGCAAGGGAUCCUGCAUACUGGGUCUCAAGCUGCCCAUAUGUAAAGCCUGCCCUUCUGGACAUAGCAGUAUACCAAGUAGGCCCCCUGAGAGAUCCCAUGGAGUAAUUCACUCUGCUGAGUUAGCACAUGAAGCCAUUGGAUAGAGUCAAAACAAGAUACUGCCAACUGUGAAGCAAAUGAAUCAAUACGAGUGCAAGGGGAUCGCUUUGUUUCUUUGAUACAAGAACAGUGGCAGCACAGGUUGUGUUCACAGUAAUGAGAUUUGAUCUGCCAGCUGAAGGCCAGGAGAUGAACCUACUGAACAGCCUGCCUGCCUAAAGAGCAAUUCUGUAGCAUCGGGUCAGAGGUACGCUUCUUCUAUCUGGAGUUAUUAACACCUAAAAGAGCUGUAUUAUACAGAAGACAAAGUUGACAUAACUGGAUGAAACUACAUCAUUUCUUCUUCUUCUUCUACAUACAAUUUGCCAAGCACCUGAGACACUAUUCCUCCAUUGUGAAACAAAGCUUCUAAAAAACCAACAGAAACCCCACCUGGUAUGAAUAAAUGUCCAUUUAUUACAUUAGGGCUGGAAAAAGACAAGGAAACCCCAACCUAUUAAAGUCUUCCAUCAUACUAAA